GGUUGUGUCACUCAGGUAUAAGUGACACAGCUAGGUUUUGCACCAAUGCAUGCUGACUGCAUCAUAAUGCCCUCAACCACCACCCUAUGUCACCAUGUUCCGUGAAAAACAAGGACACUGAAAAUCUGGCAGUGAGGCAGCAGUAGAAAGAGCACUGAGCUGGCAGUCAUGCUCUCUGCAUAGCUCUGUGACCUCUCUUGGCUUCAGUAUGCCACCUCUCAAGCCAGGGACACAAUUGGACUAACUGACCAAGGGCUGACCCAGCUCUGAACUCUGAGAGGCAGGGCUUAGAGCCCAGUGACAUCAUGAUCUGCCAGCUGUAGCCAAGAUGAGAGGCCAACUGUAGUGAAGGUUCCAGCCUCUGACUUCUAAGCUGAGUGACCUUGGGCAGGUUGCAGGUCCAGAGAAGUUACUUGUCCAGGGUCACACAGCUAGUGAGUGGCACAGCAGGGUGAAUGCAACCAGGCCCCAGCAGAUGCUAACGGCCUUCUAACAUAGAGACACCAAGGAGGAAGAAUAAGGGCAAGAAGCCACAAGCUUGGUCCUCAGGAAGCUCAGGGGCUGGGGAAACAGAGAGGAGGAGACCCCAUCCAGCCUGGGAGGAGGGAGUUUGGGAAACCGGAUGUCAGAUUCCAGCCACUGGGGAGUUGGAUUUCACCCUCUGUAGUCACUUUCAAGUCUAAAAUCCCACGAAGAACUGAAGUUGGGCAGGGAAAUUGAAAGUAAAAGUGAGGAAUGGAGAAGUUUCUGUGCCACAUUUGACGUGAAACUGAAAGUGAUCAUGUAUGUGUCCCUCCUGCUCCCAUAUGAUCUGGCACAGCGCCAUUCAGUUUUACAGAAGCUGAAGCUCAGUGCAGUAGCCUGGCUUGCCAGAAUGCACUCUUUCUUAACGGCUCACAUUUCCAUCCACAGCCCAGGUCUCUGCCCUCCCAGUUCAAUCCCUCACCCCAGUCCGUUAUUUUUAAGGCAUAUAAAGGAAACCAGAGACAGAAUCAAGUCAAAGCUGUUUUAUUAUCAUUCACAUUAUUUCAUAGAAAAAGGAAUAUAGCAAACGGUCACGGUCAGGGUUGUACAU
rnacentral:lncRNA from 1 species